CGGGCGGAGCCUCAGCCCCGGGGUCUCUGGCCCGGCUGGUGAGUGUCCCCCGACGCACCGGAAAGCGAGACACUGAACCCCGGAUAUUGGGGUUGAGCUUCCUGGAUCAGACGCUGCUGCCUGCAUUGUGGUCUGGGAGCCCAGACUGAGCAGCUGCUGCUCCCCGGUGGGGUCUGGGCUUGGGAGUGACUUGGGGCGAAGCUUCCUCUGUGCCCAGGCAAGGUGAGGACUUUCCCCAGCUGUAACUAGCUCCAUGGGCCAGCCCGAGGCUCUGCCCACACCAACAUCCGAGACAGAUACUCCAGGGGCCGGUGACGUUCGAGGAGGUGGCUGUGUAUUUCACCAG